AGGAAUAUUGGUCAAUGGACGAGAGUCUGAACCAGCCAAGUAGCGUGAAGGAUGACUGCCCUAUGGGUUGUAAACUUCUUUUAUACGGGAAUAAAGUGAGGCACGUGUGCCUUUUUGUAUGUACCGUAUGAAUAAGGAUCGGCUAACUCCGUGCCAGCAGCCGCGGUAAUACGGAGGAUCCGAGCGUUAUCCGGAUUUAUUAGGUUUAAAGGGAGCGUAGGCGGACGCUUAAGUCAGUUGUGAAAGUUUGCGGCUCAACCGUAAAAUUGCAGUUGAUACUGGAUAUCUUGAGUGCAGUUGAGGCAGGCGGAAUUCGUGGUGUAGCGGUGAAAUGCUUAGAUAUCACGAAGAACUCCGAUUGCGAAGGCAGCCUGCUAAGCUGCAACUGACAUUGAGGCUCGAAAGUGUGGGUAUCAAACAGGAUUAGAUACCCUGGUAGUCCACACGGUAAACGAUGAAUACUCGCUGUUUGCGAUAUACAGCAAGCGGCCAAGCGAAAGCGUUAAGUAUUCCACCUGGGGAGUACGCCGGCAACGGUGAAACUCAAAGGAAUUGACGGGGGCCCGCACAAGCGGAGGAACAUGUGGUUUAAUUCGAUGAUACGCGAGGAACCUUACCCGGGCUUAAAUUGCAGAUGAAUUACGGUGAAAGCCGUAAGCCGCAAGGCAUCUGUGAAGGUGCUGCAUGGUUGUCGUCAGCUCGUGCCGUGAGGUGUCGGCUUAAGUGCCAUAACGAGCGCAACCCUUGUUGUCAGUUACUAACAGGAUUUGCUGAGGACUCUGACAAGACUGCCAUCGUAAGAUGUGAGGAAGGUGGGGAUGACGUCAAAUCAGCACGGCCCUUACGUCCGGGGCUACACACGUGUUACAAUGGGGGGUACAGAGGGCCGCUACCACGCGAGUGGAUGCCAAUCCCAAAAACCUCUCUCAGUUCGGACUGGAGUCUGCAACCCGACUCCACGAAGCUGGAUUCGCUAGUAAUCGCGCAUCAGCCACGGCGCGGUGAAUACGUUCCCG
rnacentral:rRNA from 1 species